UAACAGCAAAGCAGUGCCAGACACCAGAUGGAGAACCGUAAGGACAAAGGGUAAUAAAAGGGUAAACUGUUCAUGAAAAUAUUAUUAAACUUAUAUAUGAUGUCUUUUGAUCACAGGACGAUCAAAUUAUGCAUCACAUGGUAGUACAAUUCCUCGUCAGAAAAUGGUAAAAGAAAAAGGGUUCUAUUGCUUAUGGCGAAUUCACAUCGGGCCAUCCCGGCAUCCAGUACUGGAAAACAACGAGUACGCACUCCAUGGCAUUGGAUUCACAUCGGUCGGUCGGACGAUAUCUUGAUAUAUGUACGCGUUUGCAUUCGCAUGUAUAUAUAGGAGUUAACCGCUGGGGAAGAUUUACUGCUCCCAUGUCUCGAACUUGCCGGAGACGAAGUCGUAAUGGCCGCCGACGAGCUUGAGGGUUCCGUUGGACACACCCUCCUUGACGAACGGGUAGGUCAGGAGGUUCUGCAGGGACACGUUCACUGCCUCCUGAGGAAACAAUUCAGAAAUAUCUCUUGGUCAGCGUACCAAUCAGUUAGACAAACCACAUGCAGAAUUGUGGAGUCUGCAGUAUUGCUAAUAGGAGUACUGUAUGAGCAAAGUAGUAUGAGAUGGCAGAUGGGCAAUGUUGCGAACCUUUUCGAGGACGGUGCACUGGUCAUCGAAAGGCAUGGAGGCGCACUCAGUCUGCACCUUCUUCUUGGCCGGGAAGCCGAUCCUGACCCAGUCCUCGACGAAGUGGCUGACAAGACCAAUCAAAUAGACAGUCAGAAACUGAUCGGAGAGACGGUAGUAGCGCUAGUUGGAGUAAGAUGUGAGCCGUUAUACUCUAGUGGUACUUACAAGGAGUCGUCUGCGCCAUCCUUGAGUGAGAGCAGAGCCUUGAUUCCACCGCAGCGGCUGUGGCCAAUCACCACGAUGACCUCAACCUGCAGCCAAAAGUCCAUAUCAGGCCAUGCUCUAAAAUACUGUCAGUGCCCAUGUUCACUUGUUCUUAUACUAGUAGUUGGGUGACAGCAAAGUCCACUAGUGCAAUAAUGCAUUAUAGCACUCCUAUUUUAGAAGCGACAGCACCAGAGAAAGAAGAGAGAGGGAG
rnacentral:lncRNA from 1 species